rnacentral:rRNA from 1 species
UACGAAGGGGGCUAGCGUUGCUCGGAAUCACUGGGCGUAAAGGGUGCGUAGGCGGGUUUUUAAGUCAGGGGUGAAAUCCUGGAGCUCAACUCCAGAACUGCCUUUGAUACUGAAGAUCUUGAGUCCGGGAGAGGUGAGUGGAACUGCGAGUGUAGAGGUGAAAUUCGUAGAUAUUCGCAAGAACACCAGUGGCGAAGGCGGCUCACUGGCCCGUAACUGACGCUGAGGAGCGAAAGCGUGGGUAGCGAACAGG